AUUUGUUUUUUUAAAAUCCGGUACUGGUUAUCUUUAGAUGACUCUUGUGACACUUGUGGGGUUCCAGCUCAAACUGUUUGGACGCUACUAAACAGAAGUUGACACAUCGACAGUACCGACUUCAGACAUGUCUCCUGGCACUUGUGCGGGUCGUAGAGCAAAAUGAAGAACACCAUAGAGUUGACCUACUGCAAGUAGCCUAUAUGCAGCCAAGACAGAAAGAUAAAUAUAUUCAGAGACCCACUAAAGCAGCACCGCCCCCUCAAGACUCUGAGCCUGCCUGGCAGGGUUGGUCCGACAAAGCCACAGCCCCCAGAUGGGUCGUUGUGGAUGUUUUUGAUCAGAUGGCAUGGCUGUACUCAGUGAAGGAGGCAUCCGCCUCUAGCCUGUUGCUGUGUUCCACAACAUGCUUGACUUGGCUGCUAUCAAAGCAUACGUUUUGUUCAAGCAGUGAAUAAACAACACCAUGCUCAGGAGAGACUUCAUCAUGUGUCUGGCACACAGGCUAUGUGAGAGGCAUAUGAGAGCCAAGGAAGCAGUAAAGAUCCCAUGCGAGCCAUGACCCAAAUUGCGGAACGCUUCCCCUGAGAGGACAGUGCCAGGUUGCCAGAACCUAAGGCACCUGUGUCACCUACAAGAGACGCGUUUGUGGGAAGUGUGUUAAGCAAGUGAAAGUGGUGAAGAUUUGUGUCGACUGGACAGCUAAAUUAAAUCAAACUGUUGUUGAUUUAAUUCCAUUGCGUGAAUACGCACAUCAUGUAAGCACGAGCUGACAACAAUUUACUAUUUUUACUGCUUUCAUAUCAACACUUAUAUUAAUUAUAAUGUCAUUAUUGCUUUUGUG
ensembl:lncRNA